rnacentral:rRNA from 1 species
UGGCGGACGGGUGAGUAAUGUCUGGGAAACUGCCCGAUGGAGGGGGGUAACUACUGGAAACGGUAGCUAAUACCGCAUAACGUCGCAAGACCAAAGAGGGGGACCUUAGGGCCUCUUGCCAUCGGAUGUGCCCAGAUGGGAUUAGCUAGUAGGUGGGGUAAUGGCUCACCUAGGCGACGAUCCCUAGCUGGUCUGAGAGGAUGACCAGCCACACUGGAACUGAGACACGGUCCAG